CCUACGGGCGGCUGCAGUGGGGAAUAUUGGACAAUGGGGGGAACCCUGAUCCAGCCAUGCCGCGUGUGUGAAGAAGGCCCUCGGGUUGUAAAGCACUUUCAGUGAGGAAGAACGCCUGGUGGUUAAUACCCAUCAGGAAAGACAUCACUCACAGAAGAAGCACCGGCUAACUCCGUGCCAGCAGCCGCGGUAAUACGGAGGGUGCGAGCGUUAAUCGGAAUUACUGGGCGUAAAGCGCGCGUAGGUGGCUUGAUAAGCCGGUUGUGAAAGCCCCGGGCUCAACCUGGGAACGGCAUCCGGAACUGUCAAGCUAGAGUGCAGGAGAGGAAGGUAGAAUUCCCGGUGUAGCGGUGAAAUGCGUAGAGAUCGGGAGGAAUACCAGUGGCGAAGGCGGCCUUCUGGACUGACACUGACACUGAGGUGCGAAAGUGUGGGUAGCAAACAGGAUUAGAUACCCUAGUAGUC
rnacentral:rRNA from 1 species